rnacentral:rRNA from 1 species
GGGGGAGGGGGGGGGGGGGCGGGGGGCGGGCAAGGCGAGCGGACGGGCGGGGAGCGUGCUUCUCUGAUGUUAGCGGCGGACGGGUGAGUAACACGUGGAUAACCUACCUAUAAGACUGGGAUAACUGCGGGAAACCGGAGCUAAUACCGGAUGAUAUUUUGAACCGCAUGGUUCAAAAGUGAAAGACGGUCUUGCUGUCACUUAUAGAUGGAUCCGCUCUGCAUUAGCUAGUUGGUAAGGUAACGGCUUACCAAGGCAACGAUGCAUAGCCGACCUGAGAGGGUGACCGGCCACACUGGAACUGAGACACGGUCCAGACUCCUACGGGAGGCAGCAGUAGGGAAUCUUCCGCAAUGGGCGAAAGCCUGACGGAGCAACGCCGCGUGAGUGAUGAAGGUCUUCGGAUCGUAAAACUCUGUUAUUAGGGAAGAACAUAUGUGUAAGUAACUGUGCACAUCUUGACGGUACCUAAUCAGAAAGCCACGGCUAACUACGUG